rnacentral:lncRNA from 1 species
CAUGAGGUACUGGCUCUGUUGCCCAUGGCUGGAGAGAGGUUCUCAACGCCCCUCACCCCAUGGUGUCAGGGAGGGAGGAUGGUCUGAGCUACAUUUGAGGCUGAGAUUAUGGUCGCAGAGAAUGGGCUGUCUGAGUGCUCCCCACCCCCAAACAUCCCUAAAAUAGAAUUAAUUAACUUCUUUGGGAGGGUGGGAAUCAUAGUGGGAGUGAAAUCUCUUACUCCCUUGUGUUUGGCUCCUGGAUUCUUUUUCCUCCCUGGGGAAGCCCUUCGACCCAGUUUCCCUUUAAAUGCAACCUGAGAGAACAAAGGAUUCUCUUCAUUAUUUUAAAAGCCCUGUGUCCUUAGGUGGUCUGUCAGGUAAAGACAAAGAACAAACCCCAUCUGAUUGUGACUUUUUGGGUAUACUUGUUUUUUUAACAAGACAAGAUAAUUUUAGUCUGUUAAGUGAAGUCAGUAGUGGGAAAGUAUUGUUAAAUAAAUACAGAAUGUGUGCCUCUAGCUUUCUCUCUAGCUCAGAGUUACACAAAAGAAUGGUACUCACCUGAGCUAGAAUGCUACCUGGUGUCAGCAGCACUCCUCUUUCUAGAAGCAAAUACAUUGAAGAUAUUGGAAAAAGUACCUGCAACUUCAUAAUAAUUCACCUUCAUCAUCUGCCUCAUAGGGAAGGAAAUAGAAGUAAAAUUUAAAAGAUGCAGAAAACACAUAUUUUUCCUCAGAAAAGAGAAUGUGGUAACACUUAUUUGGGAAAAGUGCAUAUCUCUGGAUAUCCCACAUCGAUGUGAAGUUAAAAGGGCAAAAUGAAGUUCUUAAUUCUCUUUUCUAUAUUAAUAUGAUAUUGUGAUUUAAUGAUCACUGGGCUUUGAGUGAUCACAAUGGAGGAUUAAUAAGCUAACUCUGAAUAAAUUACACUUGCAACAUUUUUUUUUUCCUGAGGCUGUGUUCUGGUUGGGUCAGGUUUGAUGUGGUCAGUUAGUUCUGUACAGUUAAGCGGCUUCUUAUAACAGAGUAAUACCCUGUCUGAGUUUUCCUUCUAUCUUAUUCAACACAAACAGAUGAAUUUUUACAAAGACUACCUACCUCCCAUGUCCUGUUCACAUACCAUCAUAUUGUUGUUAUGGCAUGCUUUUGCUUCCCUAAAAGAGAAUUUUGGAGGAAAGGCAGAUUUGGGAGUGGGGAGUGAGAGAGAGGCUUCCUUGGAUACAAGUGUUUUUGCUAUAUUGGAACAACAUGUGUGAUAGGGCAUGAAAAAGAAUGAGGGCAGGGAACUACAGGAUGAAUGUGAAAUUUCCUUCAAAAUUACUCCUGAAUCAAAGAUCUGGGGUGAAGAGUAUCUUGGCAAACCUAACUAUAAGUGAAAAAAUUGACUCUGGCAAUAAGAAGCAUUUUUCAACUAAAUUAUUCAUUGGCUUUACCCUGAAAGAGUGCUUUUCAACUUACAUAAUGAUUUUUAAACAGGUGUAUUUAUACUACCAUCAAGAUAUUACUCAUUAAUACUCUCAUUUCUAAUAGGAAAUAUUACUUAUCAUUUGCUAGUCAUAAAACCAGCAGUAAAGUGUAUCUUUGAGGUAGAUUACUUAUUUUUAGAAGAGCUGUCAUCUUUUUUAACCGAAAUUGCCAUCUGUGCUAUAUACUAGCAGACGUCAAUACUAUACCAAUACCAUGGAUGGCAUACAGCUCAGUCUUACUAUCACUUAUUAACAUGGUGCUUUAUAACAAUUCAUUUAAUAAAGUAUGUUAGUAAGUAUCCUUACAAUUUUCCCAGUAUCUCAAAGAGAGAGUAUAUUUUACUAGAGAACUUUGUUUCUAAACAUCUGUGUUUUUGAUAGAUUAUACCUAGCCUGGGAGACAUCAGAUAUUGAGUGCAUUUCAAACUUAAAAAAAAAAGUGCUACCAAAUUCUUUCAGCAAUACUUAGAAAUGAAAGCUGCUUUUGUAUAUGAGCUAUUAUAUUAUCAACAUUCUGGGUACGAAUGCCAUGUAAUAUUUUUCCCCCUUUGGAUAGUAGCUGUUCUGUUUUUGCUCUGCUAGUUUCUAUGUAUUCUUACUCUGCUUUUACAUUUCAAGUGAAAUGGAAGUUCCUAUUUGCUGGUUGGAUUCUCUGGAGUCAAUUGAAACCGUUAAGCUAAUAAACCCAAUUCUCCAUUCAACAGGUAAUUUUUGUUCCUCUUUCAAGCAUUUUUGUGAUGUGCUGUGCCCUUUCAGGUGCCCUGACUUGUCAGGAAAUGCAGUGUUAGGGUGUAAUGGCAUGAUUAGAUUUAACUGAACUCAAAUCACUCACCGUUUCUGACAAACUGGACUCAAGCCAAUUUCCCUCCCUAUCCUUUUCUUGAAAAUUUGUGUUUCUUUGCGAACUUACUUCAGUACCAUGCUAAUGUUUAGAAAUGGCUUCAUAAUACAGUUUCCUGUGUUUUCUCAUUUCCUAAUGGAAACAGGAUACUAAAGAAUUAGAAGGGAAAGGCCGGCAUAUGAAGCAUGAAUUAAACCCAGUAAAUGCUGGGAUGUACAUCUUAUUCUUUCUGAAAACAUCUCAUUUGUUGUUUUGUCCACUGCAGAAAAAAUGUGAAUUCGGGUUGCAUUUGGAAAUAUCAUUUGAAAAUGAAUUUUUGGACAGGCAUCUGAUGAUGAUAGCCAAAAGUCAGAAGCUGUUUUCAAACGGAUACAUUUCAAAUGGGACACUUUCCAAACUAUUUCUCUUCAGUUGUCAUUUGCCUCAUUCUUGUCUCAAGAUUUCAUCUUACUAAUAAUCACAAAAAGUCAAAUUUAUUUCAGUGACAGAACGUUCUUAGCAUAUUUUAUAUUCAUUAUCAGGUCUGCCUCUGCCGUUGUUUUAUUUGGGAGAUUUUAUUUUGGUUACUUCUGUUGAAUUUGAAGAUUAAUUUUAGAGCAGAGAGCUUUCUUUGCAUUGAAGUCUUGGAAGACUUAGUAAAGGGAAGGCAUCUGAAAAAUGGGUUACAUUGGGGAAAAGGGAAGUUCUGCACUUAGGACAGGCUUUAGAUACAUAUGUUUAAGCCAGUUUCUUAAUGAAGACCAAAUGAUCUGUAUCAUCUGAGGAUUUUCACAGAAAGAGUAUGGCUUUACCACUUUAAACAAUAUCAGAAAGAGAUUAAAGAAAUUAUAUUUUUGACAGUUAGUCCUGAAUACCCGAAUCCUAAUUCCAUUACAUUCCUAACUAUAUGUAUGACCUUGGGUAAAUUACUUAACCUCUCUAUAACUUCGGUGUACUUUUCUUUAAAAUGAAGAACUAAGGUCUUGACUUAGAUUCAGUGCUAUGAUUCCCUAUGGUAAAGUCUGCCAUACUCUGUGAGCAUGGAAGAAGAUAGUCUACUCAGGCUAAAAAUAGUUAAACUGGAUUGGUUAUUAAAAUGGAAGAAGAAUUAGAACAAAUCAACAGGGUUUAGAUCAUAGAGGCCCUUGCCUGCUAAGCCAAGGCAUUUGACAAUUAUCUUGAAAACUAGGGGUCCAUUAAAGGGGCCUUAACAGAGAGGUGAUCACUAGAUUUUCAAGUAUUAAAUAGAUUUCUUUGGCUGUAGUGUCUCAGUGGAUGGGAGAUGGUGGGAUUGGAAACUGAGAGAUUAUAUUAGAGACUUGAAGAAUUGAUGAGGGCCAGGGAUAAGGCAAAAAUAGUGGAGGUAAAAUAAACAGGGCUUUGCUAAAUUGAUUAGUUGCAGUGGAAGGAAGAAUUUAGGUUAUCUUCACAUUUUUGUCUCUGCUGUCUGUCCCAGUGAUGGUGGUUCCAGUAUCUGAGAAUAAAGGUCCUGAAGGAAGGACAGAACAACUUGUUGCUUGAUGAUGGUUCUUUGAGCUAGAAAUGGUAUGGCAGUGAUUGAUUCUAGAGGGUAUGCUAAUGAUUAAUUCUAGUGAUUGAGUCCGGUGAGAUAUGUAAUUUCAUGUCACUGAUAAGUACAGCCCCACUGAAUGCCUGCUAGCAGAACUCUCUGAUGUAGAUAAUAAACAAUCAGUAAUGCUACUAAUAAUUUUCUUAGUGUUUUUUUUGUUACACCCUGUCUGCUUAUAAAAAAAAUGCAUAAUAAACUCCCAUUUUUUUGAAAUCCAGUCAAAAAGUUCAAAAUUUAAUUUCAUUUUAAUCUUCUUUCUUUUCUGUUAUUAUCUUCAGAGGAGUUAGUGAAGGUGAACUGGGUAUAACACAACAAAAAUGACUGAAUGAGCACUGAUCAUGUUGGGCUGCCAGAUCACAAAUUCACCCCAAGUACCAAUGUUUUCUACUUCUGUAAUUUCAUAUAAUGGUAACCAAUGUCCAUUAUAUUGUCUCUGAAGCAUAGUAAGAUCCUACUGACAAAAUAAGUUGGGUCUGUCUUCUGUAGUUGAUGCCAGGCAUUCCAAAAGCUGACUUCUCAUCGAUAUUGUCAAACUCUUAGAAAACAAUUAUGUUGAGAUUCCUUUAAAUUUGGGUUUUAAAUGUGUUACUUUCAAGGUGUCCUUUUCACAUCUAAAAUUCUGAAUCUGGAAUUCCCAUCGUGUCUCAAUGGUUAGUGAACCCGACUAGUAUCCAUGAGGAAGCGGGUUCGAUCCCUGGCCUUGUUCAGUGGUUAAGGAUCCCACAUUGCUGUGAGCUGUGGUGUAGGUCACAGGUGUGGCUUGGAUCCCAAGUUGCUCUGACUCUGGCGUAGGCUGGCAGCUACAGAUCCGGUUGGACCCCUAGUCUGGGAAUCUCCAUAUGCCUUAAAAAGAAAAAAAAAAUUCUGAAUCUUUACAUGGCAGGUAGAAUAUCAAUAAACCAGAGCUUUUGCUUACUCAGGGCAAAGGAAUUCCUGUACCUUAUGCUGGUGAGUAGACAGGAAGACAGGAAACAUAUGCCUAUUAUAUCUAGACAUGUUCAUAAAUGGUGGUGAGUGGAAUCAGAGAACUGGUUAUUGGCCAGUUCCACUAAAUGGGAAAUUUGAAGAAUAAAUUGCUCUUAGAAAAACACAGUAUAUUGUUAGACAAAAUUUUAAGGGCUGCUAAGAAAGCCCAUCUUUCCAUUUUAGCAUGCCAGCCUCAGAUUCUCUUAAAGAAAAUGAG